GACCUAAACUUUAGAGAAAAAUCAUUUUUCUCAUCAUUGCAUUUUCUUUCCUACUCCACCUGAAACAAAAAUGGCGGCACAGAAAGUUUACAGAUCCAGUGAAGAAUCAGAAGAAUGGGUAUUCGAGUUGAGUCGAGUCUGUGAUGUUCUGUGUUGAUUGAAGAAGCCAGGGGUUGAUUUGAGCUUGAGAUUGACAGAAAUUAGGGUUUGAAGUAUGGUUUAUGGACUGUAGACUGAAUCGAAAUGGAGUUAGGGUUUAGUCAACUGAGUGAUUUCAGUUAAUGGGUUUUUGCAGCUGUUGUUGUUGUUUGCGGUGUUGAUGAUGGUUAGAUUCAAACUCAGAUGCUGGAUGAAGCCGUGAAAGGGAAUGGAGGUUUGGGUCAACUGAGAGAAAAAGAAAGUGGAUUUUCUGUGAAUCGAUGAGGAAUGAGAAGCUAUCAAUGUUGAUUUGAAUUGCAGUGAAGAAAAUCUAAGGGUUUCUGUGGAAUUUGAGAUGCUGAAAGAGUCAGAUGCAGAUUAAGGUGAUUGAAUUGCAGAGCUGAUUACAAGAGAACUGAUGGAUUGAAAUGGCUUAAGGAAGUGUGGUAUUGAACCUGACUUGCAGGUGGUAGUUCUAAUGAAAGGAAGACUGUUGAAUCUGAGAGCAACAAGAGAAAAACACAGUCAUGUGGAGCUCAACUGCAAUGGCUGUGACAAUAUGUGUUGUGUUGCAGUUGUACUUGAAUGGGUUCUCAAGAACUGGUUGCAGCUUCAGUGUUGUUGGUGUUGGCACUGAUGGAGAACUGAUGGCUUAACUGUGGCUGCAGGAUCAAUGAUGACACACAGUAGAUGUAUGCCUAGGAUAUUGCAGGGAGUGAUGGAGCUGUGAUUUGUAAUAGGUAGAAAUUGCAGGUGCAAGGUGAUAUGAAUUGGUUCUGGUGGUUGGUUGUUCUUGGUGUUGAGAAUGGACUGUAAUGAGGCAAUGGCACUCGGAGUUGCUGCUAAAGAAGGUUGUGUAUGAAACUAUUGCAGAUGGAUAUGAACCACAAGAUGGCAGUGAUGGUUGUAAGCUAAAAGAACUGAAGUUUGAGGAGUUAUACAGGUUGCAGCUGGUUAUGUCAAGAAGCUGAAAAGCUUGAGGAAUUGCAGGUAGUGCAGCUGCUACUGAGCUGAAAUGCAAAGAUGAACUGGAUCUAGUUGGAAGUGAUGCUGCAAUGAGGGUGAAGCAAUGAUGACGAUGUUGAUGUUUUGCGGAGGAACUGGUGGUAGAAUGGUUUACAGGGAAUGACUUUCCAAGCAGGAGUUUGCAGCUGUAUGUGUGUGGAGAUUAGAAGAACUGAGAUGCUCGUUGUGUGUGGUGGUAAUGCAAUGAGUGAUUUGAAGUGCAGAUGAGAGGAGCUGAUGUUGUUGGAUGGACAGAGUCGAAGCUGCAGCUUGAGAAGGCACAACCAUCAUGGCUGGACUGAACUGGAGAACUGCAAUCAUUGUGCAGCAGCAAGCUCAAGCCUGUGCAAAUGGAUUUGGCAUGGCAAGUUAGCCUACUCAGUUGAGUUAGCUGACUGAUUCAACCUCUGACUCGGUCUGUUUGACCCGAGUUAACUCAAUUAACUUCCCGAGUUGGUAUGUUUGACUGGUGACCGGUGACUGUUUGCCGGUCACCUGAGAUGCUUGGUGACAACUUUCCCGGCCAAGUUCCGGCCACUUUCAGGGACCUCCGACAACUACUUUCUGAGCAAAUUUUUUACAUGGGUUUCUCACACAUGGGUUUGGUGGACUCUUAUCUAUUGGACCUUUGAAGACUUGACCUAACAAAAACAUAAAAGCAAGGAUUUUUACAACUUUGGGAGGACAUAUUAUUCUUGGAGCUAAGGAGAAAGCCGCUUUUGUUUACACAACUAGGGUGUUUUUGGAGAAAUACACUUGUGUGGAAAAAGUUGCUCAAAAAGUGCUAUUUGGACCCGGGAAGACAGCUACUAAAUGGACCCCAAUUUCAGUUAACGGGCACUCAAUUACUAAGGGGCACCACCGUUACUAUUUGCACCCCAGGGCGCCCAAUGCUAUUAGCACCCCCUUAUCUUUUAGGGGGAGGUCAUCCCCAACCUUUCAAAAUCCAGUUUUGGCGGGAACAGUUGCAGCGUACGGGAAGAAUUAGGGUUCGAAUUUUCUAGGUAUUCCAGGGAGAUUUAAUCGCUACAGUUGGUUAUAUUCACCCUGUUACACCAAAAUAGGACGGGUAUAUGGGUUAGAAUCGAUCAACAAGGGUCGAAUCAUUGCUUUUGGAUAAAACAGAGUAUCACGAGUACCCCGAGUUUUCUGUGUGUGAUUAAGAGGUUUGCAUGUGCCUGCUGCGAGUUUAACCACUUCUUGGAUGAUGAAUGGACGUGUUUGGAGUGUUUUUACACGAGAAAACAGCGUGAGAAGAUAAAUCAGGAACAAAAAUAUCUCGAGAAUAUUUGCAUUUACUGCCGAGUAAUGGAAGAAUUUUUGGAGUGAUUGCGCGAGGUUUCUUGGUUCUGUUAGCUAUAUAAAGGCUUCUAAUGUAUCAUAGAAGGGGGAUGGAGAGUUAGGGGUUGGAACAGAGAGCAACAGAGUGAUCAAAUCACGAGUUGCAGAGAGAAGUUUCUACUGCUGCAGAGAAGAUGAACAUGAAGAACAAUAGCUGUUAAGGACAGUCGUUUUCUAGGGUCGUAUAUUUCAAGCUGUUCUGUAACAGUCCACUAGUCACGCUUAUCUUCAGUUAGUAACACCUCUUAUAACAGUGUUUCUUUGUAACAGUUGCAUCUGUAACAAUUAUAACUGUUACAAAGGCCCUGUUUUAUACAUUUUCUCCUUGUAAACACCUUUUUGAGCAAUGAAAAAUUCCUUUGAGUGUGUUUUCACCA